ACGCUGGCGGCACGCCUAACACAUGCAAGUCGAACGAAGUAGCAAUACUUAGUGGCAGACGGGUGAGUAACAUGUAGGUAUCUGCCCUUUGGCCUGGAAUAACACGAGGAAACUUGUGCUAAUACCGGAUAAGUCUUUACGGAGAAAGCUUUAUGCACCAUUGGAUGAGCCUGCACUUGAUUAGUUUGUUGGUGGGGUAAUGGCCUACCAAGACUGUGAUCAAUAGCUGAUUUGAGAGGAUGAUCAGCCACAUUGGGACUGAGACACGGCCCAAACUCCUACGGGAGGCAGCAGUGGGGAAUCUUGCACAAUGGAGGAAACUCUGAUGCAGCGAUGCCGCGUGAGUGAAGAAGGCCCUUGGGUUGUAAAGCUCUUUCGUCGGGGAAGAAAAUGACUGUACCCGAAUAAGAAGGUCCGGCUAACUUCGUGCCAGCAGCCGCGGUAAUACGAAGGGACCUAGCGUAGUUCGGAAUUACUGGGCUUAAAGAGUUCGUAGGUGGUUGAAAAAGUUAGUGGUGAAAUCCCAGAGCUUAACUCUGGAACUGCCAUUAAAACUUUUCAGCUAGAGUAUGAUAGAGGAAAGCAGAAUUUCUAGUGUAGAGGUGAAAUUCGUAGAUAUUAGAAAGAAUACCGAUUGCGAAGGCAGCUUUCUGGAUCAUUACUGACACUGAGGAACGAAAGCAUGGGUAGCGAAGAGGAUUAGAUACCCUCGUAGUCCAUGCCGUAAACGAUGUGUGUUAGACGUUGGAAAUUUAUUUUCAGUGUCGCAGGGAAACCGAUAAACACACCGCCUGGGGAGUACGACCGCAAGGUUAAAACUCAAAUGAAUUGACGGGGACCCGCACAAGUAGUGGAGCAUGUGGUUUAAUUCGAAGAUACGCGCAGAACCUUACCAACACUUGACAUGUUCGUCGCGACUCUAAGAGAUUAGAGUUUUCGGUUCGGCCGGACGAAACACAGGUGCUGCAUGGCUGUCGUCAGCUCGUGUCGUGAGAUGUUGGGUUAAGUCCCGCAACGAGCGCAACCCUCACUUUUAGUUGCCAUCAUUAAGUUGGGCACUCUGAAAGAACUGCCAGUGAUAAGCUGGAGGAAGGUGGGGAUGACGUCAAGUCCUCAUGGCCCUUACGUGUUGGGCUACACACGUGCUACAAUGGUAUCUACAACAGGAAGCAAGACUGCGAAGUUAAGCAAAUCCCUAAAAGAUACCUCAGUUCGGAUUGCACUCUGCAACUCGAGUGCAUGAAGCUGGAAUUACUAGUAAUCGUGGAUCAGCGUGCCACGGUGAAUGCGUUCCCGGGUCUUGUACACACCGCCCGUC
rnacentral:rRNA from 1 species